rnacentral:lncRNA from 1 species
AAACUAUAUUAACGUGCCAAAACAAUCCUAAACUAAAUAAAAAUUUGAAUUACAUACCUAGAAUCUCUGCUAGUAUCGCCUCUGGGAGUUGUAUGGUGCUUGUUAAGGUUUCCAUUGAACAUCUACGAUUAGGUUUUACGGUUUUGGGAUUAAAUGAUUUUUCUAUUUAUUAAAGCGUAUAUAUAUUAGAAAUAAAGAAAAAUAUUGUUUUGUACACAUAGUCACAUACCCCAAUCAUACAAAUAUUGUUCUUAUAAUAGACCCUUUUGGACGAGAUUG